UACGUAGGGUGCAAGCGUUGUCCGGAAUUAUUGGGCGUAAAGAGCUUGUAGGCGGUUUGUCGCGUCUGCUGUGAAAUUUCGGGGCUCAACCCCGAACUUGCAGUGGGUACGGGCAGACUAGAGUGUGGUAGGGGAGACUGGAAUUCCUGGUGUAGCGGUGAAAUGCGCAGAUAUCAGGAGGAACACCGAUGGCGAAGGCAGGUCUCUGGGCCACUACUGACGUGAGAAGCGAAAGCGUGGGGAGCAAACAGG
rnacentral:rRNA from 1 species